rnacentral:tRNA from 1 species
CCGAACCCGAGCUGCGGGAUGACGACGUCGUUGUUGAGAGCGACGGUGGGCACGGGCGGAGGAAUGGCCAUGGGGUUCCGGUCCUCGUUUCGGUC